rnacentral:tRNA from 1 species
GCUUUCGUAAUGUAGUGGUCAGCACGCUCGACGCGUAACCGAGAGGUCCAUGGUUCGAUUCCCGGCGAAGGCG